rnacentral:rRNA from 1 species
UACGUAGGCAGCAAGCGUUGUUCGGAGUUACUGGGCGUAAAGGGUGCGUAGGCGGUCCUGUAAGUAUGGUGUGAAAUCUCCCGGCUUAACUGGGAGGGUGCGCUAUAGACUGCGGGACUAGAGGGGUGGGAGAGGAGACUGGAAUUCACGGUGUAGCAGUGAAAUGCGUAGAUAUCGUGAGGAAGACCAGUGGCGAAGGCGGGUCUCUGGACAGUUCCUGACGCUGAGGCGCGAAGGCCAGGGGAGCAAACGGG